AUGAGCUCUCGUACGUAGCGGUC
rnacentral:piRNA from 1 species